rnacentral:rRNA from 1 species
UGGGGAAUAUUGGACAAUGGGCGCAAGCCUGAUCCAGCCAUGCCGCGUGAGUGACGAAGGCCUUAGGGUUGUAAAGCUCUUUUGGCGGGGAAGAUAAUGACGGUACCCGCAGAAUAAGCUCCGGCUAACUUCGUGCCAGCAGCCGCGGUAAUACGAAGGGAGCUAGCGUUGUUCGGAAUCACUGGGCGUAAAGCGCACGUAGGCGGAUGUGUCAGUCAGGGGUGAAAUCCCGGAGCUCAACUUCGGAACUGCCCUUGAUACAGCACGUCUUGAGUCCGAUAGAGGUGGGUGGAAUUCCUAGUGUAGAGGUGAAAUUCGUAGAUAUUAGGAAGAACACCGGUGGCGAAGGCGGCCCACUGGAUCGGUACUGACGCUGAGAUGCGAAGGCGUGGGGAGCAAACGGGAUUAGAUACCCCGGUAGUCCCUGAGCGGGCUGGCAAGGCGCAU